AUGCGUCUGAGCGAGGAACACAGCAGUUGCUGUGAGGACAAGAUCAGCAGCUUACCUGACGAGAUGUUAAUCUUGAUCAUCGACAAGCUAGAUGCACGGACAGCGAUAAGCACCACUAUCCUUUCGAGGCGAUGGCGGGAUCUUCCUACAUACCCGCGCACAUGUUAUGACCUUACGGUUGAUGACGCUCUCCCUCCACGGUACCACAGACUGAAGCAAAUUGUGAUGGAGGCUAAGGCAGGGUAUGAGGCAGAGAAGAAUGCACUGAAGUCGGACGACAGUUAUGCUUCUAGAGACCAGUUAUAUUCCUUCAAAGACUGGAAGUGGAAAGUCCGUCUGCUAACACCCAUCCUGCAACGUUAUGAGCGUUUGGCCAUGCGACGCUAUGUUAAACGGGUGAAUGCAUUCCUUCUGGCCCCCAACAAUGUUCAGCAACAGUCUAUUCAGAAGCUGAGGCUUCAAGCCUGUGGGACGAGCAAUUUCACUGACCAAUGGAUUACGGAAGCGAUUGGCAGAUGGGGCGUUGAAGAUUUGGAGCUUGUCAUUGACAACUCUUGCUGGCGCUAUGACUUCCGGCUGUUGGAUGGAUGCAAAAAUGUGCGACUGAAACGGCUUGUGCUAUCCAAUUGUUAUCAUCGUUUUGCACCCAACCCCUUGACGUUUCAGAGGCUCACAUCACUUACUCUCUGCAAAGAAAGUUCACGUAUGCCACGCGUUGAUGAUAUUCUGAGAAACUGCGUGCAGCUGGUGAAUUUGAGGCUGAAAGAUUCUAGUGGUUGCCAACCUGCUUUUCAUAUCUUUGUUCCUAACUCAAAGUUAAAGAGUCUGCAAUUGGACAACUACAACACUGUGGGUGUCUACCUGGGUUUGGUGCCUUAUCUUGAAACAUUUGCUUGUCGUGGUCAGCCAACUAUACUACACUAUGGCUUGGUGCCUCGACUUAGGCAUGUGAGUUUGAACUUCUUGCAAACUGGAGAUGACGGCAAGAAUGAUUCCUCCGGUAGCAACAGGACAUAUCGACUAAGCAAAUUCUUUUUAGGGUGGCCGCCACCGCUAGAGUACCUAGUUCUGCAGUUAAGAGGGCGUCAGAUGUGGAUUGAACUAACCGCCAUCCCCGACCAGUUCAAUCAUCUCAAGAAACUAUUCAUUGCAAACGUGCAAAUGAACUGGGAUACAUUCUGGAUUCUCCACCUACUUGCUGCCGCACCUGCCUUGGAGUCGCUCCAUGUUCAUUUUGACAGCAAGUCAGAGAAGGCAACUGCUGGAUCACUGAAUGUGCAAGUGGAGCACCAUCAGCAGCACCAUCACCUGAAAGAACUCGUGGUCAUCGGCUUCGGCGGGGCGGCGGGGCAGACAGGCUUUGUGAAGCAGAUCAUCCAGGCAUCGCCGAUCCUGGAGCGCGUCCGCCUGCUGGACGGGCACGUCGUGGAGGACGAAGAGCGGGAGCUCGUCGGCCUGGAGAUCGUCCGCCGCAUCCGGGAGUGGCACGAGCGCGAGAGAUUGGAGGUGCUCGACGAACUGACAGGCGGGAUCAGUUCGCCUCAUCUCGAAAUAGUUCUGGAAUGA
rnacentral:rRNA from 1 species